rnacentral:rRNA from 1 species
GACAGAGGGUGCAAACGUUGUUCGGAAUCACUGGGCGUAAAGCGCAUGUAGGCGGCUUGGUAGGUCGGAUGUGAAAUCCCACGGCUCAACCGUGGAAGUGCAUUCGAAACCGCCUGGCUCGAGUCUCGGAGAGGAAGGUGGAAUGCUUGGUGUAGAGGUGAAAUUCGUAGAUAUCAAGCGGAACACCGGUGGCGAAGGCGGCCUUCUGGACGAUGACUGACGCUGAGAUGCGAAAGCGUGGGGAGCAAACAGG